rnacentral:rRNA from 1 species
AGAGUUUGAUCCUGGCUCAGGACGAACGCUGGCGGCGUGCCUAAUACAUGCAAGUCGAGCGAAUCAGAUGGGAGCUUGCUCCCUGAUGGUUAGCGGCGGACGGGUGAGUAACACGUGGGUAACCUGCCUGUAAGACUGGGAUAACUCCGGGAAACCGGGGCUAAUACCGGAUAACUUCUUUCACCGCAUGGUGAAAGAUU